rnacentral:tRNA from 1 species
CCCUAUGUGGCGGAAAUGGUUAAGUGCUAAGCUACAAACCAAAAGUUGGUGGUUCGAAUCCACCCAGAGGUA